GACGAACGCUGGCGGUGUGCUUAACACAUGCAAGUCGAACGAAGUGGCGAACGGGUGAGUAACGCGUAAUUAACCUGCCCUUCAGAGGGGGACAACAGUUGGAAACGACUGCUAAUACCGCAUACUGAAGGAGUGGAUUGCGUCGGAUUAGCUAGUUGGAGGGGUAACGGCCCACCAAGGCGAUGAUCAGUGGCCGGGCUGGGAGGAUGAACGGCCAAAUUGGGACUGGAGCACGGCCCAGACUCCUACGGGGGGCAGGAGUGGGGAAUCUUCCGCAAGGGACGAAAGUCUGACGGAGCAACGCCGCGUGAGUGGUGACGGGCUUCGGGUUGUAAAGCUCUGUUAAUCGGGACGCGGUACCGGAAGAGAAAGCCACGGCUAACUACGUGCCAGCAGCCGCGGUAAUAC
rnacentral:rRNA from 1 species